GAUGAACGCUGGCGGCGUGCUUAACACAUGCAAGUCGAACGGAAAGGCUCCUGCUUGCAGGGGUACUCGAGUGGCGAACGGGUGAGUAACACGUGGGUGAUCUGCCCUGCACUUCGGGAUAAGCCUAGGAACCUGGGUCUAAUACCGGAUAGGACGAUGGUUUGGAUGCCAUUGUGGAAAGUUUUUCGGUGUGGGAUGAGCUCGCGGCCUAUCAGCUUGUUGGUGGGGUAAUGGCCUACCAAGGCGUCGACGGGUAGCCGGCCUGAGAGGGUGUACGGCCACAUUGGGACUGAGAUACGGCCCAGACUCCUACGGGAGGCAGCAGUGGGGAAUAUUGCACAAUGGGCGGAAGCCUGAUGCAGCGACGCCGCGUGGGGGAUGACGGCCUUCGGGUUGUAAACUCCUUUCGCUAGGGACGAAGCGCAAGUGACGGUACCUGGAGAAGAAGCACCGGCUAACUACGUG
rnacentral:rRNA from 1 species